UACGGGAGGCAGCAGUGGGGAAUAUUGCACAAUGGGCGAAAGCCUUACCCAGCAAUGCCGCGUGAAUGAUGAAGGUCUUCGGAUUGUAAAGUUCUUUUAUUGGUGACGAUAAUGACGGUAGCCGAUGAAUAAGCCCCGGCUAACUACGUGCCAGCAGCCGCGGUAAU
rnacentral:rRNA from 1 species